UUGGGAGCUCACUGGCUUCAGAGUCAUGGAAACUCUGAAGUUAAGCAAGUUAGGGCUAGAGUACUCCUAGGAUGGGUGACCCAUUGAGAAGUUGCUCGUGAAUUCCCAGA
rfam:Prunus persica cultivar Lovell chromosome G6, whole genome shotgun sequence.